ACAGGGCGCUUCGCUUUCCAAGAUGGCCGCCGCCUGGCUGGGGAUGGCGUUCUCGGGGCGCAAGAGGAAGAAAGGCAGGGCGCCGGCCUUCUGGUCCUUGGGAGCCUUGUGGCUGACGUGCCUCGCGGCGCGGAGCGUGGCCAGUGGAGGGGAGCCUCCCUUGAAGUGCGAGGACCUGAGAGUCGGGCAAUAUAUUUGUGAAGAUCCUAAAAUAGACAAUGAGACACAAGAACCCUUGAAGUGUACCAACCACACUGCAUAUGUUCCCUGCCUUCCAGCACCAAAUAUAACAUGUAAGGAUUUUAGUGGAAAUGAAACCAAGUUUACUGGAACAGAAAUCGGGUUUUAUAAGCCUGUAGAAUGUCGAAACGUAAAUGGUUACUCCUAUAAAGUAGCAGUAGCUCUGUCUUUAUUUCUUGGAUGGUUGGGGGCUGAUAGAUUUUAUCUGGGAUAUCCUGCAUUAGGUUUAUUAAAGUUCUGCACAGUCGGGUUUUGUGGAAUUGGUAGUUUGAUUGAUUUCAUUCUGAUUUCAAUGCAGGUAAUCUAGUGAGAUCAUCAAACGAGUCCAAAUACAAUCUAAGUAUAACAAAUUUAUCUAUGAAUCACUCCAAAAAUAUUUGAAAGAGAAUUCCAGACAUGUUAUUUUUGGAAUAAUCAUUUUUUGAGCUCUAAAAAGAGGCAUUGUGUCUUGUUGAGGGUGGGAUAAUGUUUUUCAGGAAUUCUUUGAGGUUUACAUGGUUCAAAAUAGGCUUUUUCCCAUUUAAAUGUAAUAAUUUCUCUUCUAGAUUGUAGGACCUUCAGAUGGCUCUAGUUACAUCAUAGAUUAUUAUGGAGCAAGGCUUACUAGACUGAGUAUUACAAACGAGACAUUCAGAAAACCUCAGAUAUACCCCUAAACAUACCAUAUUUUCUGUUGGGAGAAAAUGAAGAUGAACAUAUGUAUGAAACUGCUAUAGAGCAUUGGCCUGUCAUAUCCAAUAUGGCUACUCUGACAAUAAUUCUCAAGGAAAGUUUGUGUCAUUUAAAGACUUUGUGUAGCGAUCUUGAUGUCAAUAUGGAAUAGUUGCUGUUCACACUCUGAAAGAGUUAUUUGACUUGUAUGCUUGACUUCCUGUGAAGAGGAAUAAAGAAACUACUGUUACAGGCGCUUUGCUAUGCUGCAGGUACCAAAGGGAGUUUAGCUCCAUAUCCUCCAUUUUUAUGUGAGGAAGAUGCCUGAAUCAUAAAGUAUGGAAGUGGACUUCGUUCACAGGAUGUGAUUUGAAGGAGUCACUAGACUUUCUGCACAAGCUGUAACUUGCAGACCACUUCAUCAAACACAAAACAAGUUUGAGCUUUUGUGGCAUGGUUUUAACAUAGCCUCAUUAAGAAGCAGACAAGGACUUGCUUUUUAAAUGUUAAAUAAGAAUAAGCAGUGGACAUUAUUUAUAGUAAAUCUAUUGUGCAAUACUGUAUAGUGGACUUCAUACAAGUUGUACAAAACUGUGAAAAGCAUGUGUGUAAAUAUAAAAGGAAAGGCAGGAAGAAAUGACUUCACAUUCAGCAUCCCUUUCCCUACUGCUCUUUAAAAGCAAGAAAAGAAUUCAAACAAAAAAUGUUGUUUUACAGAUGUACAAAGUUCCAGCUCAUUCGCUUUCUCCCUCUCUUGCAUCAAGUACAUCCUGUACUUUUGGCAACAAGUUGACUGGAUAUUUAAAAGCUGCGAACUGCUCUGAAAGUUUCACAUAGUGGGUUAUGGGCCAUGUGUGUUUGAUCAAAAUUCAAUUACUGCACUGUGCCAGGCUUGGAAACCUAUCAUUGCAAGUUAUGAAGUAUGACGAAAUAAGCUACUCUAAUUGGUUCAGUAUGGAGAGCAGUCUCAACCAAGCUUGUUAUGAUAAAUAGCUUCCUGUGUUAAAGGUUCUCUGGAGCUUAAGUGUCUUGGCUCACCUCCUUCAACAGAAUAAGAAUAUUGUUCCCUAGGAACACUUACAUCACUGUCCCUCUUCCCAAUUCAGAAUUAGAUGUUUGUAGCAUUUUUCAUUUUGCUCUCAUUGAAGGAUAUAAACAGUGGGUAUUGCUAUCAUUUCCCUUGUCUUCCAUGCUGUCACAUCUCCUUCCAGUCAUAAAGUGUCUUGCAUCCCACGGGUACAGAGGUAUAGAGUAUUUUGAUAUUUCAACACAACUACUGUUAUUGACAACUUUACUUUUGUUAGUUAUGCUAUGUUGCCACUUGGGGAAUGGUAAGUGAUAUUUAAAACUGAACCCACUUUUUAAUAUCUAAAAUAAGAGCAGGAAUGCAAAGUGGCACUAGGCCUACCCUAGCGCUUGCUCAGUGUGUAGCUUGAUAGGAUGAACUUGGUUCCAUGCAUGAGAAUGCUGACUUGAUAGUUUUAACAGCUUCUGCUUUUAGAAGAAGAAUAGGCUUAAUAGCUAACAAAGCUAAUGCACAGAAUAAUCUCCACCCAUUUUGUGUGUGUGUACACAUGUGUUUGUAUGUAGGUAAGCAGGCAGAAAGUAAAUCAAGAUGUAUUGAUGGUUCUUCAUGCAAUUUUUAGUAGAUCAGCAAAGGGUUCCAACUCCCAAUGGUUUCUAAAAAGUGAUAAAUCCUCCCCUCUGCCCAGUUAGGGAUAAUGGAAAAAGAGGAAUAGAUUUGUGAGCAGGGAUGUAUGUGCAUAUUACAUGGAGAACAAAAUCUUGAGAGAGAGAGAGAGUGUGUAUCCCGUAUUGGGAGAAAAAUGUAUAAAUUAAAUGAUAAACCAAUAAGGAUAUUAAAUAAAUAAAUGAACAACACCUCAUUUCUUAAAUCUGAGCUGCCCUUUUGUACCUGACUUGUUGAACCAAUGAAAAACCAAGUAGAUCACACAGUUCUCUCAACUGCACAUAUUUGGACAACAGCACUCACUGGUCUGUGAGGGCAGUAUCUCAUGUUCCCCACUGUUUUAGGAGAAGGUUGUGCAAUAUAUAGCGACUGAUACUAUUGCUGAAGGAGCUAAGAAAAUAUGAGCUGUAUUCUUGCUGGGGUUUUUUUUUUUUUUUAAGAACUCUGACUUUCUGGUCACAGAUUAGUUAUAGUAAUAGGUCAUAACAUUUUGCAUACAAUGAUACAGCAUACCAUUGUUAUUAUCCAGUUACAGUACUGUUUUUUUCUUAGCUUUGAUCUUAUCUUAGCUUGCCAUUAUAUUUAAAUGUUCUGUUUAACCUUCUGCUAAAAGAUGUAUGUUAUGCUGAAGUUGGCAUUUCUAGCUUGUAGUAGAUUUGCAGAAAAAGUCUCCCA